UCGGCCCGAAAGCUCUAGAAUGCACCCCUAUUCCUCCCCGGGGCCAUUCCCGCUCAACGAGUUUUAUGACCUAAAAAACCCCACAGGCUGGUCUGAAGAGGAAGACACUUAAAGAUGAAGUGCUUAAUUCAAGGUCACAGAAUGUCGGGGAUGGACCUCCAGAUUUCCUUACUGGAAAACAAGCUCAGGGCUCCCACUGAUUGUACAUUAUGACUUUUAAGUCUUUACGUUUUAGUAAUCUUGGGUAUAUUCACAUUUUGUGCAACAGAUCUCCAGAACUUUUUCACCUUGCAAAACUGAAACUCUGUACCCGUUAAACAACAACUUUUCUUGCCCUA
rnacentral:antisense_RNA from 1 species